AGAAAAGUAGUACAUUGUUGGCCCAAAACCCGGACCAGCUUUCCUCAUUUGAUCCUUCUUCUCUUUCCACUUUUUUCAGUUCUCCAUUUCUGCAUAUUUGUCCGCCGCCACCCUUGAUGUUCUUCAAUGAUGAAGAAUGUUGAAAAAUUUAGUCGUCAAAGGUGUACUAUCCGGUAAGAGUUCUUGUCAAGCUCUCAAAAGGGUGUGAGCCUAGUAAGCUUUGUAGAUCUUUAUUUUGUUAUUUUGCUUGGUGAUGGAGGGUUUAUUAUAUGAUCGUGUCUGUUUUAUGAUCUUUGCAAUGUCAGAUUGCUUAGAGGUUGUUUAAUGAAGAAGUAUUGGAGGCAAAGAUAAUUGAAUUUUAUGAACUACUUAAGGUAAUAUACUUAUACUAUAGCUUAAUGGAUGAAAUAUUUUACGCAAAUGUGUUGUUGCAAAUGACAAUUGAUGCCUAUGGACUACCUAAGUUGCCUCCACUUGGUGAAAAUAUGGCGGAUACGGUAGCACAUGCUCGAAUGGCUACGCAGGCUGCUUCUGAAACCACUGACACUACCCCGGUCGAGUCUAUCCCGAGUAGUAGCACUGCCCCUAGCUCCUCUCGCUCAGCCCCGUUCCCCGCUCUGGCCCUGCUUGCUAGAGUCCAGAAACUAGAGGCUCAGAUGGCCACACUUCUGCAUUACAUCCAGCCUUGGAUGCAGAGGUCUAUUGCUGAGGCGGAGGAGCGCUUGGAGCGUAAAAUGGUCCAGCACACAAGGCGGAAGAUCG